rnacentral:rRNA from 1 species
UACAGAGGGUGCGAGCGUUAAUCGGAAUUACUGGGCGUAAAGCGCGCGUAGGCGGCUUUGCAAGUCGGGGUGUGAAAUCCCCAGGCUCAACCUGGGAACUGCAUUCGAGACUGCAUUGCUAGAGUAUGGGAGAGGGAAGUGGAAUUUCCGGUGUAGCGGUGAAAUGCGUAGAUAUCGGAAGGAACAUCAGUGGCGAAAGCGACUUCCUGGACCAAUACUGACGCUCAUGUGCGAAAGCGUGGGGAGCAAACAGG